CCUACGGGUGGCAGCAGUGGGGAAUAUUGGACAAUGGGCGAAAGCCUGAUCCAGCCAUGCCGCGUGUGUGAAGAAGGCCUUCGGGUUGUAAAGCACUUUCAGUGGGGAAGAAAGCCUUGGGGCUAAUACCCUCGAGGAAGGACAUCACCCACAGAAGAAGCACCGGCUAACUCCGUGCCAGCAGCCGCGGUAAUACGGAGGGUGCGAGCGUUAAUCGGAAUUACUGGGCGUAAAGCGCGCGUAGGCGGUCUGAUAAGCCGGUUGUGAAAGCCCCGGGCUCAACCUGGGAACGGCAUCCGGAACUGUCAGGCUAGAGUGCAGGAGAGGAAGGUAGAAUUCCCGGUGUAGCGGUGAAAUGCGUAGAGAUCGGGAGGAAUACCAGUGGCGAAGGCGGUCUUCUGGACUGACACUGACGCUGAGGUGCGAAAGCGUGGGUAGCAAACAGGAUUAGAUACCCGAGUAGUC
rnacentral:rRNA from 1 species